GGGCCCGCACAAGCAGUGGAGUAUGUGGUUUAAUUCGAAGCAACGCGAAGAACCUUACCAGGGCUUGACAUGGAGACGAUCGCGCUAGAGAUAGCGUUUCCCUUCGGGGCGUCUCACACAGGUGGUGCAUGGUUGUCGUCAGCUCGUGUCGUGAGAUGUUGGGUUAAGUCCCGCAACGAGCGCAACCCUUACGUUUAGUUGCUACGCAAGAGCACUCUAGACGGACUGCCGUUGACAAAACGGAGGAAGGUGGGGACGACGUCAAAUCAUCAUGCCCCUUAUGUCCUGGGCUACACACGUACUACAAUGGCGGCUAACAGAGGGCAGCUAAGGCGCGAGCCGGAGCAAAUCCCCAAAAGCCGUCCCAGUUCGGAUUGCAGGCUGAAACUCGCCUGUAUGAAGUCGGAAUUGCUAGUAAUCGCGGAUCAGCAUGCCGCGGUGAAUACGUUCCCGGGCCUU
rnacentral:rRNA from 1 species